rnacentral:tRNA from 1 species
CAAACCGUAGUUUAUUUAGAAUGUUGGUUUUGGGGACCGUCGGUCCGGUAGGUGGUUUGG